GAUGAACGCUGGCGGCGUGCAUAACACAUGCAAGUCGAACGGAACUCAUUGGAAUGAGACUUCGGUCGAAUGAUAGUGAGUUUAGUGGCGGACGGGUGAGUAACGCGUGUGCAACCUGCCUUUCAGAGGGGGACAACAGUUGGAAACGACUGCUAAUACCGCAUGAUGUAUUUCGAGCGCAUCCUUGAAAUACUAAAUAUUUUAUCGCUGAAAGAUGGGCUCGCGUCUGAUUAGUUAGUUGGUGGGGUAACGGCCUACCAAGACUACGAUCAGUAGCCGGACUGAGAGGUUGAACGGCCACAUUGGGACUGAGAGACGGCCCAGACUCCUACGGGAGGCAGCAGUGGGGAAUAUUGGGCAAUGGGGGCAACCCUGACCCAGCAACGCCGCGUGAAGGAAGAAGGCUUUCGGGUUGUAAACUUCUUUGACGAGGGACGAAUAAAUGACGGUACCUCGAAAACAAGCCACGGCUAACUACGUGCCAGCCGCCGCCGUAAGAC
rnacentral:rRNA from 1 species